GAGGUGGUAGUGGUGGUGGUGGUGGUGGAGGAGGAGAAGGAGGAGGUCGAGAGAAGGGGAGAGUUGACCUUCAGCUGCGCCGGGAAAGUCAGGCAGUCACUGACCGACAGACUAACUUAACUGCUCUAUCCUUCUCCUCCUUCUCUCUUCUCUCCACCUCCAUUCGCGAGCGGCUAGUCCGAUGCACCGUGCUACCACCACGCACAUAUAUACAUAUGUGUGUGUGUGUGUAUGUAUCACGUAUACGCACGAACCAAGAGAGAACGAGAGAGAAAGAGAGAGACACGACGAACUCCAGUGUUCACGGACGCCGACGACGCGACAAGCCGUUCCUCCUCCUCUCCCCUUUCUCUCUUCUCGACUACCUCCUCCUUCUCCUCCUCCUCUUCCUCUUCUUCUUCUUCCUCCUCCUUCUUCUUCCUUAGCUCUUUGCCCCUCUACUCUCCUUACUACAUCUCGUCGUCAACGUCCUCAUGUCUUCGUCGUCUUCUUCGCUCUCUGCCGAUGCUCUUCUCCCUCUUUCUUCUUUCUCUUUUUAUUUUCCUGCCUUUUGCCUACCCUUGCCUCCCCCCUCUCUUUCUCACUCUCGCUCUUUCUCUCUCUUACUCACUCUCUUCCUUUCUUUCUUUCUUUCUCUUUCUUUCUUUCUUUCUUUCUUUCUUUCUUUCUUUCUUUCUUUCUUUCUUUCUUUCUUCCUUCCUUCCUUCCUUCCUUCCUUCCUUCCUUCCUUCCUUCCUUCCUUCCUUCCUUCCUUCCUUCCUUCCUUCCUUCCUUUCUUUCCUACGUUCUAGACCUAAAGUAGCCCUUCUUCUUUUGCUCCUCCCUCUCUACUCUUUCAGCCUAUUAUGUUACCCCAUUGCCUUGAGCUACUACUAUCUUUAACCCCCGAAACUCGUCGAAAAUCGUCAACUCUCUUUACACUCGAGUCGCAUGUAUGUAUGUAUGCUUUUCUUUCUUUCUCUCGUCUCUUCCCUUUCCCUUCCUACCUACAUAAUAACUACUAAAAUAAAGAGGCAGAAAGAGAAAUAGAGAAAGAGAAAGACAAAGUAAUGCGGAAAAAGAAGAAAUAAAAUUGGCAGAUCUCCAUGUCGAGAUACGUCGAAAAUCAAAAUUUCGAGAGGAAGCUUAGCUUAUCCAUUUUCAUUGUAUUAAUGUUAUUCGCGGUUACUGACGAGAAUGAAAAAGACAGAUAGAGAGAAAGAGAAUAAGAGAAUGAGAGAGAUAAUCACGUUCCAGACUACAGGCGUGGUUUUUCUUCUACGCGACUACCUUGACUCGUAAUAAAGCGUACAAAAGACAGACUACUCCCCCUACCUUACCGACCGUGUCGGUUUCACGAAUCCGCAAUGACCGCAUACCUCUCUCCCUCCCUCUACCAUUCUUUCUUUCUUUCUUUCUUUCUCUUUUUCGUUCGAGGAAAACUACGAAAAAAAAGUGUUAUGAAGAUGAUCGCAAAGGACUUUUGGAACCGAUCAAAGAGCGAUAUCGUCGUCAUCGUCGCGAAUAAUAAAAAUCACGUCGGAUGAUCAUCCGUACGAUCAUCUGUUCACGAUUCCAGAAACAUGUUACGAGAAAGGACUUUACUACAUUACUACUACUACUGUUACUGCUGCUGCUGUUGCUGUUAUACCACUAACUUCGUGUGGUACUUCGCGAGGAACCAAUAAAAGUUCCUAGGCAAUGGAAAAGAAGAAACGUUCGUGAACGCGUUCGUUCGAUUUAUAUCCCGCAGGGACUCGAAGAAGAACUAAGAGGAAAGAAGAAAGAAGAAAGAAGAGAACGAGAACAAGAAGUAUAUAUCCUGGCGUACGUUUCUUCGCGGGUUCGUCGAUCGUUCGAUGAGAUUCUUAUUGCCAGCUUCCUGCUGCACGUAUCACGCUGGUUACCUCUAGCUCGCAGCAUACACGGAAGUCUCGAAAGCGUUUGAAGAGAAAAAGAAGUGGAGGAGGAGGAGGAGGAGGAGGAAGAGGAGAAGGAAGAAGAUGAAGGAGGAUAAAGAGGAGUACUAGGUGCACCCUAUGCUUCUCCACGCAUAGUCCAUUAUCGUGUUCUAUCGUAGAACACGUACAUAACUACGAAUCGCAAGCUAUAUAUAUAUAUAUAUAUUACGCUGAGGGACCGGUCCCAACUGUGCGUGCACUGCCUACGUCGCACGCAUUAUUUCUUUUCGCGAACCGACGUGGACAGAGGUCAAGAAGAAGAGGAAGAAGAAGAAGAAGAGAAGAGAAGAGAAGAAUACGACGAGACGAUGAGAGAGGCGAGAGUGAAGAAGAGGUGCCGUUGGUGGAGGUGGAGAAAUAAGAGGUAGUGGAGGAGGGGGAGGAGGAUGGUCGAAUGGGAAGAAUGCGUGACUCUUCUUCCGUCGUCGCGUACGCGACGUGUGCGAGGUCAGUGACCAUGAAGCGCGUACAAGGUGGGCGCGACUUCUUGCGCGACUUAGAGAGAGAGAGAGAGAGAGAGAGAGAGAGAGAGAGAGAGAGAGAGAAAGAGAGGGA